UAAAAGCACCAAUUUGGAUAAAUUUUUUACAAAAAUUUAGAUCUAUUACUAGAGUUUUUAA
rnacentral:tRNA from 1 species